GACAGAGGGUGCAAACGUUGUUCGGAAUUACUGGGCGUAAAGCGCGUGUAGGCGGCCCUGCAAGUCGGAUGUGAAAUCCCACGGCUCAACCGUGGAAGUGCAUUCGAAACUGCAGGGCUAGAGUCCUGGAGAGGAAGGUGGAAUGCUUGGUGUAGAGGUGAAAUUCGUAGAUAUCAAGCGGAACACCGGUGGCGAAGGCGGCCUUCUGGACAGUGACUGGACGCUGAGACGCGGAAAGCGUGGGGAGCAAACAGGG
rnacentral:rRNA from 1 species